rnacentral:rRNA from 1 species
CCUACGGGAGGCAGCAGUGGGGAAUUUUGGACAAUGGGGGCAACCCUGAUCCAGCCAUCCCGCGUGUGCGAUGAAGGCCUUCGGGUUGUAAAGCACUUUUGGCAGGAAAGAAACGGCGCCAGCUAAUACCUGGCGCUAAUGACGGUACCUGCAGAAUAAGCACCGGCUAACUACGUGCCAGCAGCCGCGGUAAUUAGCGCCGC